AAUAAGGAGUCGAGGGGCGGGGGAAGAGGGAGCAAGGGAGGGAGGGAGUCGCCACCUCAAAUCCACGCCGGACCAGGAAUCUCCAGCCCACAACCUGAUCCCUGCCCUCCCCAAGAGCGGACCGGCUACCAGGCCUAGAACGUGGGUAAUCCCUAAAAAAAAAGAGGAUGAAGCUGAAAAACUGCCCUUCACGAAUGACAUGGGCAUACUUUGGAACUAUAACACUGAAAAGUACAGUGAAGUCAAAUAAAAAUGUUAGAAGCC
rnacentral:lncRNA from 1 species